UACGUAGGGUGCAAGCGUUGUCCGGAAUUAUUGGGCGUAAAGAGCUCGUAGGCGGUCUGUCGCGUCGGCUGUGAAAUCCCGAGGCUCAACCUCGGGUCUGCAGUCGAUACGGGCAAACUAGAGUAUUGCAGGGGAGACUGGAAUUCCUGGUGUAGCGGUGAAAUGCGCAGAUAUCAGGAGGAACACCGGUGGCGAAGGCGGCGUGCUGGACCCCUUCUGACGCUGAGGCGCGAAAGCCAGGGGAGCGAACGGG
rnacentral:rRNA from 1 species